UUUAUUGAAAAAAUGCUGAGGCAGCUCUCCAAAUCAGGGGAUGAAGAAAACAGCCAAGGCUGUUGGAAACCUCAGCACCAGAGAUCUGUGGACCUUUCCUCUACAGCAGGGGUCCCCAACCCCCAGGCCAUGGAGUGGUACUGGUCCGUGGCCUGUUAGGAACUGGGCCGCACAGCAGGAGGUGAGGGGCAGGCAAGUGAGCGAAGCUUCAUCUGUAUUUACAGUCACUCCCCACUGCUCCCACUACCGCCUGUCAGCAUUAUGGAACUGGAACAAGACAACAGAUUGGUGAACACUUCCAGGGAGAAAUAGAUGGGAAGAACUACUCCCAGAGAUGCCCUAAUCAAGAACAUUCUCUGUCUCCAGAGAAAGGGGAUCUGGCAGGAUGUGCCCAAGUGGAUUUCAUAGCAAUUUCAGCAUUGAACGACGGAGAUAACUUGUGUUUUUAGUUCAUAAGUCUUCAGAUCAAGAAUUGCUGUCC